rnacentral:lncRNA from 1 species
UCCUCUCUUCACUUAACAAGAUGAGAAAGACAAUAGGUGGUGUGGCUCUCUGGCGACAGCAAAUCUGCGCAAUUGCAAGGGUUCGCUUGUUAAAGUUAAAGCAUGAAAGAAAAGCUCUUUUAGCACUGCUAUUAAUUCUAAUGGCUGGAUUUUGCCCUCUUCUUGUGGAGUAUACCAUGGUGAAAAUAUAUCAAAACAGUUACACCUGGGAACUUUCUCCUCAUUUGUAUUUCCUUGCUCCUGGACAACAACCACAUGACCCUCUCACUCAACUACUGAUCAUCAAUAAAACAGGGGCAAGCAUUGAUGACUUUAUACAGUCUGUGGAGCACCAGAACAUAGCUUUAGAAGUGGAUGCAUUUGGAACUAGAAAUGGCACAGAUGACCCAUCUUAUAAUGGAGCCAUCACAGUGUGUUGUAAUGAAAAGGUAUGCAGGUCUCUAAUAAUCUUUCUGAAAAAUGUGAAAAGCUAACAUAAUAUCAAUAUACUCAGGCUUCCAACUUAAGAAAUAAAAAUGAAAAGC